rnacentral:rRNA from 1 species
UUUCCCUACGGGAGGCAGCAGUGGGGAAUAUUGGGCAAUGGGCGCAAGCCUGACCCGGCAACGCCGCGUGAAGGAAGAAGGCUUUCGGGUUGUAAACUUCUUUUCUGAGGGACGACAGUGACGGUACCUCAGGAAUAAGCCACGGCUAACUACGUGCCAGCAGCCGCGGUAAUACGUAGGUGGCAAGCGUUAUCCGGAUUUACUGGGUGUAAAGGGCGUGUAGGAGGGAUGGUAAGUCAGAUGUGAAAACUAUGGGC